rnacentral:rRNA from 1 species
CCUACGGGAGGCAGCAGUGGGGAAUAUUGCACAAUGGGGGGAACCCUGAUGCAGCGACGCCGCGUGAGUGAAGAAGUAUUUCGGUAUGUAAAGCUCUAUCAGCAGGGAAGAAAAUGACGGUACCUGACUAAGAAGCACCGGCUAAAUCCGUGCCAGCAGCCUCGGGAAUACGUAGGGGGCAAGCGUUAGCCGGAUUUACUGGGUGUAAAGGGAGCGUAGACGGCAGAGCAAGUCUGAAGUGAAAGGCCGCGGCCCAACUGCGGGACUGCUUUGGAAACUGCCUGGCUAGAGUGCUGGAGAGGUAAGCGGAAUUCCUAGUGGAGCGGUGAAAUGCGUAGAUAGUAGGAGGAACACCAGGGGCGAAGGCGGGUUACUGGACUGUAACUGACGUUGAGGCUCGAAAGCGUGGGGAGCAAACAGGAUUAGAUACCCGUGUAGUC